AGCUGUCACUUCACACCGCCUAAAUUUAACGCGAUAUUUGGUGUAAUUUUCACACCAUAAUUUCACACCUUUACACUACACCAAAUCCAAAAAUUUUUGACAGUGUAACAAACAAUAAUUUCAUAUGAUCAACACAAUAUUUUGUCUUUUAUUUUACCAACUGAUAUCAAGUGAUAAUAAUAAUAUUUUUCAUAUCACAAUAAUAUAAAAAAUAAAUUAAAUACCAGUAAAUAUAUACGGCUUAGUUACAUAACCCAGACACAUUAGUAGAAGCCGUAUUAGAGUAAUAAGAGUGGUAACUAUAAUUCAAAGUAAAACCGCUUCAUAGAAGUGAUGAAGCCUCGUCUAGGUCGCGAAAUUUAAUACAAUUAAAUAAUACAUAUAUAUAAAUAUACUAAAGCAUCAAACUAAGCAAAGUACUAUAUACUGUCAUGUAAAAAAUUAUUUCCCGAUUAUUUUUCUCAUUCACAUUCACAUAAAUAAGCGUAUGGCAAAUAGCUUACAUUUGCUGGGCAAAACCAAUCAACUCGGUUCAUUCGUCUUCGACUUUUUAAAAUAGUAAUCAUUUUAAGUUUAUUUUCACUUGAGGAUACUUGUAAGUUACAGCACAUAUACGAUGAUAUAUAGGUACAACAAUACUGUACUGCAUUAAACGACAUAACGUUGGGAGAACGAGGUACUGGUAACAUGUCAUCGGUUAGAAUAAAUAAUACCGUCAUUUGUUAUGUUUUGACGGGAUACACGAGUGUUACUGAUUGCCAGGUGUAUAAAGAAUAAAAUAAUAAAAUAAAAAAAUAAAUGGAAAUUGUAAUUAUCAUUUAUAUAAAAGGGGUUGCAUAUAUAUGUGGAUGUCAAGUUGUUAACCGAUAAAAAGAAAUAAUAAUGAUAUUAAAAAAGAAGAAGGGUAUGAUUGUAUAUUUAUAUAUAUAUAUAUGCAUAUAUAUUUAUGUUAUAUUAGUACUGACAGACAAGUAAUGUAUGAAAACAGUCGAUUCCAAGGCCACGCGAUAUGUCCAAGUUGACAUGAUGCGAUAACACAUUCACGUGUAUGUUAUAUAUAAAUAUAUAUAUGUGAAAUAUAUCAUACAUAUAACGAUACACGUUUUUUUCAGACAGGUAUGUUAUGUAUGUCUUCGGAUGAUUUGACGAAUGUACACGUAAUUUUGUCGACAGAGUCAAUUCAAAUGAUGAAGCAUUUUUUUUACGAUAAAUUUAGUUUUUAUAAAAAUAAUAAUAGUGAUAAUGAUAGUGAUUGAAUAGAGGAAUUAUUUAUAUAUAUAUAACUGUAAGCCAUUAGAUAAAUUUAUACAAAUGCUUUAAAACUGCAUUAAUAAAUUAAAAGUUUAAAUUUGAAAAAAAAAUUUUUAUUUUUCAAAUCUCUGGAGUCCCGCCAAUAGUUCACGAGUAUUUUUUUAUUUCUAUUUUUGUUUUUCUUACUUUUAAAACUCGCUAGACUUAUCUCGCAUUAACAAUUGCGUUUCACUGGAUUUUAUUAUUAUAUUUUUAUUUUAUAUGACAUAUUAUUUGUUGUUUGUUAUUUAUAAAUUUUAUUGUUUUUUUUUUAUUUUUCAAACAGUUGAGUCAUACACAAUUGAAGUAAACACUAAGCAGAUAACAGCAGCAAUUUACAAAGUUACUGCGACAUUGUCAGCACAUAUACAAUAUAUAUAUAUAUACAUACAUAUAUGAGUGGUAUGAAAAUUUAAACAGUAUCAAGGUUUUAAUUUUCUUUUCUUUUCAUCAAAAUUUUAAUCUCGAAAUCUGUUUGUUUAAAUUUAUUUUAAUUCCUCUUGAUAUUUAAAUAUUUCUUAUAUACUUUAUAUAAAUAUUUACUCAUAUCAAUAAAGGAAUCACCGGAUUCGUGCUUGCAGACAUACUGACUCUCUAUUAAAUAUUUAAAAUGGCAACAUCGCAUCACGUUACAUACAAUUGUCAUACUAUCAAACAGUCGUCACCGUCACGGUCACAAGUAUUAUACACUAAGGAAAUUUAUAAUGUAUAAUAAUGUCAUGUAAGUGAAGACAUGUAUUACUUUGUCGUUCAUGGACCUGUGUGUGCAUAUACAUGAUUCCAUUGGGGACAUACCGACACGGCGCACGUGUAUCAAGAAGACGUCAGUGAAGUUAUGAAAAUUUUCGAUGCAGACGUGGAUAAUUGACGUGGCAGCUAAGAGCGAAUUCAUGAAUACUCAAAAUAAAUCAAUAAGAAGAAAAAGGAAUUAUCCUGAUAUUUUGACGAAAAUUUAUCACUUAAUCAGUGAUUAUAAUUGAUGUGAUGAUUAAUUGUAAGGUAUUACUGUACUUGUUAUCAAAAAGUGACAAAUGUUUUUAGUCUGUAGUUUAUCGCCUCUGUACUACCAUUUUUUUACUUAACCAUACAUAUAAAUAUAUGUACUAUUUUAAUUAGUCUAAAAAAUUUUAUGAUUUAUAUAUUUUAUUAGAUUAAUCCACGGCAUAAAUUUGAAUAUAUUUAAUAUCAGGGGAUUAAUUUAUCAGUUUCUUAACGUUAACUCUAUAUUUAUAUAUAACAACUGUGAUAUAUUUUAUUAAAAUGUCAAUAAUGAUCAUCUGCAAAAUAAUCAACAACUGUUCUAAAACGUGGUUGAAUAUCAAAUUCAAACCAAUGCCUAUUUUCUUCCCAAUCAUCGGCACUCUUAUUUAUAUCUAACGAAUUAUCAUCCAUGGAUUUCAAUUUAUAACUACAUAACAGCACUAUUUCUCUUUGUAAAUUAAAUAUUAUAAUGUCCAUAUUAUUAUAACAAUUGUAUAUAUAUAUUUAAAUACACGUAAUAUUUAUAACAAUCCACGUACAUUUCACUAUUUCAAAUGAUAACAUUGUCUGUUUUUUUUAUCACUACGACAUUUUUUUAACUUGUGUUAUAUAUAUACAUAUAUACACACAUAUAUGUAUGCAUUUACGUCUACACUAAAUCGUUUAAUAAAAAAUAUAUAUAUAUAUUAAAUAAAAUAAAGUUUGUUGCCGAGGGCAAAUCAUACAGGCAAGAGAAGAAAAGCUAAACGGCUUCUCUUGACAUCGACUAUAGAGCAAUUAAGAUAAUAAUAGUAGUAGGGGAAGACAAAAAAAAAUAUGGAAGCAAUAACCAAACCUGUACAUUAUUAUUGUAUUAAUGAAAUUUAAUUAAAUGUCAUAUAAACAUA